UUUACUUCCUCACUUGGUGAAACCUGUAGGAGUUAGGGCUCAUCAUCGGCUUUAUUUUUCCAUUAGAAUUACCUUAUUGCGGCCCCCCAUACAUUGAAGGAGGCCAGCUGCUUCAGCCUUCCAUUGAAAAGCUGAGUGACCAGCUAAAUUUCCAGAUCUGGAGGAGAUAGUAUUUCCAGACUACUUAAGGGUCAUAUUCAUUGGAUCGUUGUCAGGCACUUCAAUUGUCCCAGUCGAAGGAUAGUCUGGUAAACAGUCCCAAGCUUUUACAGAUUUAACGGCAAGAGCGCCUCCCUGUACGGCGGUGUGGAGGUUGUUCAAGGGGACGCUGCCCCCGGAGGACGACGAGCCGGCGUCGUGAGCGGCGGUCUGCAUUGCCAGGACGACCUUGAUCACCCGCUGCCCGCCACCGCUACCA